UCCAGGCCCUACGGGGUGCAGCAGGCGCGAAACCUCUGCAAUGCCCGAAAGGGUGACAGGGGGACCCCGAGUGGUAGCUUUGUUACCUUUUCCAGAGUGUAAAAAGCUCUGGGAAUAAGGGCUGGGCAAGACCCGUGCCAGCCGCCGCGGUAAUACGGGCAGCCCGAGUGGCGUCCACGCAUACUGGGCCUAAAGCGUCCGUAGCCGGUCUAGGGGAGCUCCUGGUGAAAUCGGCAGGCUUAACCUGUCGGCUGGCCAGGUGAACCACUAGACUAGGGACCGGGAGAGGCCGGAGGUAUUCCCGGGGUACCGGUAAAAUGGUAUAAUCCUGGGAGGACCUACGGUGGCGAAGGCGUCCGGCUAGAACGGAUCCGACGGUGAGGGACGAAGGCCAGGGGAGCAAACCGGAUUAGAUACCCGGGUAGUCCUGGCUGUAAAUGCUGCGGGCUUGGUGUUGCGUAACCCACGAGGUUGCGCAGUGCCGGAGGGAAGCCGCUAAGUCCGCCGCCUGGGGAGUACGCCCGCAAGGGUUAAACUUAAACCAAUUGGCGGGGGAGUACUACAAGAGGUGGAGGCUGCGGUUCAAUCGGACGCAACGCCGAGAAUUUUACCGGGGGCGACAGCAGAAUGAAGGUCCGUCUGAAGGGCGUACCAGACACGCUGAGAGGUGGUGCAUGGCCACCAUCAGCUCGUGCCGUGAGGUGUCCACUUAAGUGUGGCAACGAGCGAGACCCGUGCCUCUAGUUGCAACCUAGGUUCUUCGGGAUCUAGGGCACUCUAGAGGGACUGCCGGCGAUAAGUCGGAGGAAGGAGCGGGCGAUGGUAGGUCUGUAUGCCCCGAAUCUCCCGGGCUACACGCGGCCUACAAUGGUCGGGACAACGGGACGCAACCCCGAAAGGGGAAGCUAAUCCCUUAAACCCGACCCCAGUUCGGAUUGAGGGUUGAAACUCACCCUCAUGAAGCUGGAAUCUCUAGUAAUCGCGGGUCACCAUCCCGCGGUGAAUACGUCCCUACUCCUUGUACACACCGCCCGUC
rnacentral:rRNA from 1 species